UUGCGUCUGCGGAGUUGAUUCAACUGUUCGAAUUGUUGCAGUAGCCAACCAUGGCGUCGCAUACGCUGGAGUCCAGAAUGAGCCACUCCAACCCAUUUCUUCUAUAUACACUCUUAAACCUUUUCUUCUCCAUCGAUUACUGGUUUGAUAUUCUUGAUAGGUGAAUGGCGGGGGUGCGGAAAGGAGACUCGGAACUGAUACGGAUUCGUAAGCGGCACAAGUAUGUGUUUGUUGUAGAAUGUUUGCAUUCCUAGAUUUUAACACUUUUGGAAUAUAAGUUUGCUAGUUGUGGAGGGGGCCAUAAUAUCCUUGGUUACUAUGGGCAAGCACGAGGAAUGCUCGAUUUGCAGGCAAGCUGUGCAAGCUCUCACGGCUUUACUAUAAGGAAGCUGGUCAAUCUUCGAUUUUUGGAUUGCUCGAGGCAUUGCUACAUUUGGGGAGGGCAUUCCGACUAUUGCGCCAUACUAUUGCUUCCGGUUUCCGUUAGUAAUGUAAGUAUAUAGGAAACAUCCCUUGCUUAAAGGACUUCCAUUUUCUUUUAAUUCAUUCGGAUAAGUGACUAACUAUUUGUCAUCAAGCUUUGAGUGGUGGCUCGACCAGAAACUGGCCGCCAUUCAAGAUAGGGCUGUCAACGGGUGGGAUCCGGGUCCAGUUUAGGUAGAAGCACUCCCGAACAAAUCAUUAAUUGGGACAAAAUCUUAGACCCAAAACCGUCCAUUUUAACUUAAAAUUUAGGUUGAAACCAAAACAUAGGUUUAAUACCGAACCAUUUAAGCUAAAAAACACCACUUUUCUUAUUUAAACCGCAAACUAAAAUUUAAACUUUAGUCAUAUAUCGUUAAUUAAAUUGAUAGAAAAAUACUAAGUUACUUAUAUGUUAAAACGUUAAACACCUUUAUUUAUCUAUCUAUCAGAUUCGACACUUUAAACCUAUGAGAAGAGAAAAACUUUAAGAAAACGAAGGAAAUAAUAUAAAUGGCUAACAAAAUAAUCGGUUUUGGGCAUGAAUCGAUUCGGGAGGGGCGAGAACCGGAACCAACCUAAUUAUUUAUUUCGACAUAAUCAUGGAGCCGGAUCCUUUAUAAAUGGUUGGGUCUAUUCGGGCCAGUCGGGUGGACCUGAACCGUUGACAGCCCCUUCAAGAACAUGAACGAUGAGAGCGAUUGUGUUGCAGCAAGGUUGGUAUCCCUUUUUCUUCUCGCUUUGGACCUGUACUUCGAGGUAAGGACCAUUCAAAACCGCACUCGAUGUUCGUACCUUUGUUAUUGAAGCAUAAGAUUUUGCCCUGGGAAGUUGAAUUUGGAUUCACACGAAUUAAUAAAUUGUGCUAAUGCAAUUUCUGCCUCAUCAUUCUAGGAACAUUCUAAUGGGUUCGCAUUGUCAACUGCCGUAUCAGAAUGACUGCGAUAGUGCAUUGCCACUUCCAUGAGAUUGCGUCAUUGGAGCUGAUUCAAGCAUUCGAAUUGGAGCAGUAGUCCGCCGAGGCCUUGCAUACGCUGGAGUGAACGGCGUGAGCGCAUAGGAGACUCGGAAGCGAUACGGAUGCAGAAGCUGCACAGGCACGAAGAAUGCUCGACUUGCGGGCAAGAUAAACAACCUCUCGCGGAAAAACUAUAAGGAAGCUGAUCAACUCUUAGGUGUAAGCUUCUCAAUUCUCAUAUUCAUUUGGUGUUCUCGUUUGGAUGUAUGAGUUACUAAAUUGCUUUGGUUAUAUGCGUAGUUUUUUAUUUUCUCGAGGCGUUUCUACUUUUGGUGAUCGACUUACCGAAUCCUGUGCCUUACCAUUGUUCCCUGUUUAAGAUAUCAAUGUAAGUAUAAGAAACAUCCCGGUUGUGGAGGUGACCAUAAUAUCGUUGGUUCUUAUGGGUGCAGGUACGAAGAAUGCUUGACUUGCGGGCAAGAUGCGCAACCUCUCGCGGCAAUACUAUAAGGAAGUCGAUCWACUCUUCGGUGUAAGCUUCUCAAUUCUCAACUUCAUUCGGUGUUCUCGUUUGGGU